AUUUAACAAUGCGUUCACUAAUAAUACUAAUGGUGCCGGUUUGCCCAUUCCAGUUUAAUCCGAACCAAGUAAGGUAUUGUGUGGACUGCCAUACGCAUUUCUCGACAUUAACUAACAACCAAGCGCUAGAUAGAUCUGAAAGUAUUAAGCCUGAAUUGCUUGUACAAGUUUGUAUGUCUCUGUCGAUGUCAAACCCAUCGUCUAAAUAAAUCCCAUUAUUUAUCUCCUGAGUCUCCUGAGAGCGCCAAUGUUUAACUAUAGGCCGUAACAGUUUUGUGAAUAUAUAGGGAGCUGUUGUCAGCCAAAAUGGCAGAACAGGGAACAUAAAAUAACUUGGCGUCGCGUCAUUCCUCUUCCAGGUAAAGCCCAAAUAAGGCUGAUGUUCAGAAUAUAUCCACUGAGUAAUGAUACCCAGAUUUCA